CUUUCCUCCUUGGCGCAGCAGUAGGGAAUAUUGCUCAAUGGGGGAAACCCUGAAGCAGCAACGCCGCGUGGAGGAUGAAGGUUUUAGGAUUGUAAACUCCUUUUGUAAGAGAAGAUUAUGACGGUAUCUUACGAAUAAGCACCGGCUAACUCCGUGCCAGCAGCCGCGGUAAUACGGAGGGUGCAAGCGUUACUCGGAAUCACUGGGCGUAAAGAGCGCGUAGGCGGGUGGUCAAGUCAGAUGUGAGAUCCUGUAGCUUAACUACAGAACUGCGUUUGAAACUGAUCAUCUAGAGUAUGGGAGAG
rnacentral:rRNA from 1 species